rnacentral:rRNA from 1 species
ACAAGCGGUGGAGCAUGUGGUUUAAUUCGAAGAUACGCGAAAAACCUUACCUGGCCUUGAUAUCCUUCAAAUACCUGUAGAGAGUACGGAGUGCUAGCUUGCUAGAAUGAAGUGACAGGUGCUGCACGGCUGUCGUCAGCUCGUGUCGUGAGGUGUUGGGUUAAGUCCCGCAACGAGCGCAACCCUCGUGUUUAGUUGCUAACAGUUCGGCUGAGCACUCUAAACAGACUGCCUUCGUAAGGAGGAGGAAGGUGAGGACGACGUCAAGUCAUCAUGGCCCUUAUGGCCAGGGCUACACACGUGCUACAAUGGAUAGGACAAUGAGACGCAAUACCGCGAGGUGGAGCAAAUCUAUAAACCUAUUCUCAGUUCGGAUUGUUCUCUGCAACUCGAGAACAUGAAGCUGGAAUCGCUAGUAAUCGUAGAUCAGCAUUGCUACGGUGAAUACGUUCCCGGGUCUU